CCACCAUUUGACUAGGAGUGGAAACUCUCCUGUACAGAACAGAGGAGGGGGCGGUCUUCCUUUCUCCACACAAGACCUGACCCUCACUUUCUUAGCACUUCAGGCAAGAGAGACGUUCAACAAAGGAAGUAACCACUAACAGCCUGGUCUCCACAAGCAAAGUAAAGCAGAAAAUUGAUGCAAUCUGUCUGGGUCAUUCAAGCAAAAUCCUGCUGUGAUCUGGGUGAUUCGGGUUAAAAUAAAAAUCAGGUUUUU